rnacentral:rRNA from 1 species
CAGUAGCCGCGGUAAUACAGAGGGUGCGAGCGUUAAUCGGAUUUACUGGGCGUAAAGCGUGCGUAGGCGGCUUUUUAAGUCGGAUGUGAAAUCCCUGAGCUUAACUUAGGAAUUGCAUUCGAUACUGCCGAACUAGAGGCUUGGAGGGGGAAGCGGAAUUCUUGGUGUAGCGGUGAAAUGCGUAGAUAUCAAGAGGAACACCGGUGGCGAAGGCGGCUUCCUGGACAAGUCCUGACUCUGAAACACGAAAGCCAGGGGAGCGAAUGGGAUUAGAUACCCCCGUAGUCCCUGUCUCUUAUAC